CCGAGUUGUAAUUUGUAGAGGAUGCUUCUGGGCAGCGGCCGGUCUAAGUUCCUUGGAACAGGACGUCAUAGAGGGUGAGAAUCCCGUAUGCGACCGGUUGGCACCCGUCACGUAGCUCCUUCGACGAGUCGAGUUGUUUGGGAAUGCAGCUCUAAAUGGGAGGUAAAUGCCUUCUAAAGCUAAAUACCGGCCAGAGACCGAUAGCGCACAAGUAGAGUGAUCGAAAGAUGAAAAGCACUUUGGAAAGAGAGUUAAAAAGCACGUGAAAUUGUUGAAAGGGAAGCGCAUGCAACCAGACUUGUCGGCGUUGUUCCGCCGGUCUUCUGACCGGUCUACUCGCCGCCGACAGGCCAGCAUCAUCUGGGAGCGCCGGAUAA
rnacentral:rRNA from 1 species